UACGUAGGUGGCAAGCGUUAUCCGGAAUUACUGGGCGUAAAGCGUGCGCAGGCGGCUUCUCAAGUCAGGGGUGAAAGCCCAGAGCUCAACUCUGGAGUUGCCUUUGAGACUGAGUGGCUUGAGUACGAGAGAGGUGAGUGGAAUUCCCAGUGUAGAGGUGAAAUUCGUAGAUAUUGGGAAGAACACCGGUGGCGAAGGCGGCUCACUGGCUCGUAACUGACGCUCAUGCACGACAGCGUGGGGAUCAAACAGG
rnacentral:rRNA from 1 species